rnacentral:misc_RNA from 1 species
UGACAGCGGCAGCGCUGCUCAAUGGCCAAUCACGCGCUUUGGGCACAACACGCAAAGAAGUACAAGAAAACGCAGGUGUGCACACGCUUACAAUAGAAGGAGAGUGUCACCAUUGUUACGGAUUAACUGCAGGGCAGAGGCGUUCUCCUCUUCCUCUUCCUCUUCCUCUUCAGCACUAUAUCUCACACGUCCACGAAUCGUGGAGGAGGCCGCUCCCUGACGUGUACGCAAACUAAAAAAAAAGAUUAGAUAUCACGAGAGAACACGCAACCAGAAGGAACAGGCGCCCCUCUACAUAUCCGCACACACAUACACACACACAUUGACACGCCCACGCAACCACAGUACAAGAAGGUGUGCAUCCGUGUUUAGCGUGUGUCUCCCUGCUACACACGCAGACGCUGUAUAAGGCUGUUCAAUAUUCUUCUUUCACACGCACACACGCACACCGUACAUAUUAUACACACACAUAUAUAUAUGUGUAUGCGUAUAUGUAUUCUUUUUCUCGCUCUUUCGUUUCCCCGCUCACAUCUGUCGCCGUACAAAAAAGUUCAUUGCCUUUUUUGUGUUGGCGUGCUCGCUACCGGUAGACCUCGUCGUCUGCGGACCUGUGUGCGUGUGUUGAUUGUCGCGAGGUUUGAUCUCUUCGCAUCUCCCUUUUGCGCUUGUGUGUGUGCAUGUGUGUGGGUGUAUCUCCUCUCUUUGCAAGUACCGCUGGACUCUCUCGAGAGAGCCGUGCACAGUCCUCCCCCUUUUCUUUUUCACCGCCAUUAAGGGCCGGGCGGAUGCUGCCUCGUGAGUUGGCCCGCUCACCACACAUGAGCUCUGGCGGCUCGGCGAUGACGCAGCCAAAACGGCCGACUGGCCCUCCAGGCACUCGCCCCAUGUCUGCUGCCUCUCCUCUCAUCACGCUCUCGCAAAACCAGCUGCCUCUGAGGAGUUCGACACCUUUGCCGCCGCGCAGUGGUGUGUCGUCGACCAUGGCCUCGCGGCCAAGCUGCAGCAUUUCCGGCAGUUUCCAGCCCACACCCAGCAUCCUGGGCGCGCAGGAGGAGAAGGUGCGCGUCGCGGUGCGCUGCCGUCCUCCGAAUGCGGCCCACGGGGAGCACAGUGAUGACAUCAUCGUGUCUAUGAACCCGUCAGCGAACGAGGUGUACCUGCUGGACCAGGAGGCUGCGCCGUGGCGUCUGGACAUGCCGCUGUGGUCGUGCUCUGGCGUGGCCCUCGACGGCUCACAUGCGGUGUCGCAGGCUGGCGUGUACGAGGCGGUUGGGCGGCCGCUUCUGCAGCACGCACUUGACGGCUACAACAGCACGCUCAUGGCGUACGGGCAGACAGGUAGCGGCAAGACCUACACGAUGAUGGGCGACCACCGCGAUAACGAAGGCGGCGAAGGGGCCGGCAUUAUUCCUCGCAUGUGCCGCGACCUUUUCCACGAGCUGAACAACCGCUCCUUCACCGCCCCCAGCGGCGAGCGCCUCAGCUGGGAGGUGCACGUGCGAUACGUCGAGGUAUACUGCGAGAAGAUCAGCGACCUCCUCAACUGUGGCGCGUCGGUCGGCAUUCGCGAAGAGAUCACACCGCAGAGCGCCACUUUCGCUCUGGUCGGUGCUCGCCGUGUCAAGGUAACCGCCACAGAUGACCUUCUGCAGGCGCUUGCAAUCGGCAACAAGUGGCGCCGCACGGCGGCCACGAAGCUCAAUGACCGCAGUAGUCGCAGCCACGCUCUCUUUUUGAUUGACUUGACGGAGAUCAUCUCUUUCACUGAGCCUGACGGCACCGUCGCCAGCGCACCGAGCAAGAGCCUCAGUAUUCGCCUUGUCGACCUGGCCGGGAGCGAGCGGGUGAGUGAGACAGGGGUGCACGGGCAGAAGCUGAGGGAGGUAAAGGACAUCAACCUCUCUCUCUUCACCCUUGGCUGCGUGAUCGAGUCCCUCUCUGACCCCAAGCGGCGCGGUAUCAAGCCACCGUAUCGUGACAGCGUGCUGACGAAGCUCCUUCGAGAUGCCUUCGGCGGCAACAGCAAGACAACAAUGGUUUGCACAAUCAGUCCUUGCGAAGCGCAGCGCCUGCAGACGGUGCAGACGCUCCACUACGCAGCCAAAGCGCGCCGUGUGCUGAACAAGCCUCGCGUCAAGGAGGACCCAUCCGCUAUGGAGCUGCGCCGCGCCAACGAAGAGCUUGUGGCGCUGCGGCGCCAGCUGGAUGAAGCGCAGCGCAACGGCAACCACUACGAGUCCAUCGAGGCGGAGCUGAGGGAGGCAAACAUGCGGCUGCGCCGCGAGCAGAAGGAAGCGAGGCUGCGCAAGCAGGUGAUGGAGAGGCGUGAGGCAGAGCUAGCUGCUCGGAUGCGGGAGCUGGAGGACCAGCGUGAGGCCUACGAGGCGCAGAUGCAGGCGCUCGAGGCCGAGGCCGAGCGAGCGCGUGCGCAGCAGGAGAAGCGCGAGGAGGAGCUGCGUCGGGCACACGAGAUGGCCACCGAAUACGCACGUGACCGACUCAAAGAGAUGGAGGAGCAGUGCGUCUCCGCCGAGGCAGCGCUUCGCUCCAGAGAGGAGGAGCUUGUGAAGAAGCAGCGUGCCAUCGAGGAGAAGAUGCGGGCAGCAGAGGCGAGCUCGCGGUGCCGCAUUGAUGAGUUGCAGCGGCAGCAGAAGGACAUGGAGAACGCCCUGAAGGAGAAGGAGCGGUUGACCUCGAUGCACGAGCGCGAGAUGCGCCACAAGUACAAGCAGGCCGAGGAGAAUCUGAGGGCCAUGGAGAAGCGUAACUUCCAGAUGGAGGAAGAGUGGGCAGCCAAGGUCAGGGCCCUCGAGGCGACUGCGAAGCAACGAGAGGAGGAUGUGGCGCAGCGCAUUCGUGAGGCGCAGGGGGCGCAGUGCAAGGCCGAGGCCGCGGUGCGUCGGAAGGAGGAGGAGCUGCAGCGGAGGUGGAUCCAAGUCGACAACGAGGCACGGCGGCUGCAAUCCGAGGUGGCGGCGAAGGAGGCAGAGCUGAAACGGCGCGUGCAGGAGGCGAACCGCAGCACGGAGCAGCGCGAGGAGGAGCUCAACGAGCGUCUGCGCAAAGCAGAGUACGAGCUCAGCCGUCGUGAGCGUGAGACAGCGCAGAAGCUGCUCGAGGUAGAGGCACUUCAACAGGCGACUGAGCUGCAGUCGGAGACGACCCGCGCGAAGGAACGCACGAUGAAGGAGGCCCACAACGUCCGCACCGAGUCCCUGGAGGCUCUUGAGGCGCAGCUUCAGCAGCGCCAAGAGGAGCUGCGCAAGCAGUUCGAUGAGGUGAUGCAGAUGAAGAGAGCAUGGAAUGCGCAGCACGCGGAGCAGAGGCAGAAGCUGCAAGCAGAGCACGAGGCCGCCCUGCAAGCUGUGAAGCAAUGGGAGACUGACGUCUCUCAGCGGGAGAUGGAGCUGCGCCGGCAAAACGACGAACUUGCUGGCAAACUGCGAGCGCAGGAGAUGCAGCUAGAGAAGCAGCAGAUGAUGCUGCUGGCGGAUAAGAACGAGUUCGAAACGGCGAUGCAGCGGGAGAGGCGUGCGAUGCUUCGCACGAGAGAGGAGAUGCAGCUCGCCCAGGAUCGCAACGACGUGGACUGCAAAAUGCGGCAGGAUAAGCUGCGCGAGUGGGAGACGGAGCUGCGCGACCGCCGCGCCGAGAUGGAGGCGACGCAGAGGGAGCGCGAGGCGGCGCUGCGACAGAAGGAGAUGGCGCUGGUUGUGCUGCAGGAUGCGACGAUGGCAAAGGAGGUGGAGCUCUAUCAGGCACAGGAACGCCUCAAGGCAGAGCAGGCAGACCUGCAGCGCGUUGCCAAGGCGACCGAGACGGAGCGAGGACGCCUAAAGGCAAACUGCACACGUCUACAGCGAUGUGAGAUGCGACUAGGUGACGUCGCCGAUCACAGCAUCUUUGACUCCGGCGCGCUCGACGACGUGCGCAUGUCCGCCGAGUACAUGGCAUGCCAAGGCCACGCCGAAUCGUCCGCCGAUGUGUUGAACCGACGAGAGCAGCGGUACUUCUGCGCUUUUGAGAGCAUGUACCGCGCCAACAUCCUGGCCGAGGAGAGGAUAGAGUUUCGCAGCUUGGCCCGCAGCAACCAGCUGGAGGCUCGCGAUAUACAGCGGUGCGUCGAGGUGAUGCGGAUGCAGGAGGUGACAAGCGCGCUGCAGGCGAAGCUGAACGCGGCCUUGAGCGAGUCCAAGGCUGCCGAGUCGAGGGCAACCGCAUCACAAGGGCAGGUGGAGACUCUGAGAGGUGAGCUGGAGAGCUUGCGGCGGCAGGCCCUGGAGGUGAAGGUGCAGAUGGGCAGCGCCGUCGCCGCUGCCCAAUUUGCGGAGGCGCAGGUGCGCCAGCUGCGGAUCGAGGCCUACGAAGCCGACGCAAAGCACCGCGAUCGCGAGCAGGAGUGCCAGUCCGCCGUGAUAAAGGCGCAGAGCGCCGCCACCGCUGCCGCCCACAGCCAGGACCUCCUCCACCAGCUGGCGAUGCGCAUGCUGCUAGCGUGCGAGGAAGAGCAGCGCAGCCUACUUGAGCACCAUCAGACCAGCGAGCUCCAGUCACUGCAUCUCUUGCAGAUAUCCGACCAGCGCGUACUGGAUCGCGAGGGUGCCAUCCGCAAGUGGCAGUCACUCUACCGUCGUUGCAGCGAGGGGAGCACGUCGACAAGGGUAAAGGACGACGCCGCGCGGCAGCGACUCACGGACGAGGAGGCUCAGCGCUUGCGCAAUCUCCAGCACGAGGGCGAUGUGCUCGCACGCAGAGAGGAUUGCCUAGCCGCAGAGCGGGAGCGGGUUGAGCAACGUGUGCUCGACUUUGAGAGCUACCAGCGCGCACAGAUGACCGAGCUGUCGCGGCAGGAGCAAGAGGUGAAGGGGUACUUGCUGGAACUGGAAGAGAUGGAUCAGCGCAAGAUGCGCGAGUACGCCGAGCGCGAGCAGCGCCUCGUGGAGAUGGCGGAACACCUCAAGAUGCGGCAGGCCCGUAUUAACACCAACGCUCAAGACCUGUUUCAGUCUCUGCUUCAGCGAUCCGCGGAGCAGCAGUCGGCACUGGCAGAGGCGCACGAGGAGCUCGAGCGCGUUAGUUUGCAGCGUACCAAGUACAUGGCGCGGGAGAGGCAGCUCAUUGAGCAGGCACGGCACGGCAACGCGGAUGCCAUGCAGCAGCUGGUGAAACUGCACGAGGAGUACGUCGAGUCGGAGAAACAUCAGCUAAAGCGACGAGCUCGCAGGCUGGAGGAGGAGGAGGCGCACAACAAGCAGCGUCUGGCUGAGCAAGAGGCGGAGAUUCACCGCUACCUGCUCGAUAUCGAGGCGGAGGAUGUUCGCCGCAACGCGCUCUCACACCAAGGCCAGGAGCUGAUGCGGAAGGCCGAGGAGCGUCUGUCCAAGGCGCAGUUUAAGGAGGCUGCGUUGCGCGACCUGGCCCGCCAAAUCCACCUCGAGGCUAUGGAGUCAGAGGAGCAGGCGCGCGCAAUGGAGACAACGCUGAGACGAAAGGAAAAGUCCGCUCGCGAGAAGCUCAAGCACCGAAAGGUGGAGCUGGAGCAGCUGCAGCGUGCAGCCAGCAGCGCCGCCGAGUACAAUGAGCAGACGCUGCUGGACAUGGAGGCGGACUUGUUGGCGAUUGUGAACAAGAACAAAAAUGCCGAGCAUGUCAUCAAGACACGCGAGGCGGAAAUCGAGCGGCAGAAGAUGUACUACAUGGAACUCUCCAAGAUGUUGGCUGAGCGCGAUGAGAUGCUCAGGAAGGAGCACGCGCUGCGCCUAUGCGGCAAGAAGAACGCCGGCUCGUUGGCUAAGGACCUACUCGAUGUCAACGACGCUCUGCGCAAGCAGGUGUUGACGUGGAAGCAGAAGUUCGACGUCCUUCUUUCGGAGGGCAAGAUCGAGUGCGAGAAGUGCUCGUGGAAGAACAAGCGAGACACAUCAAUGUGCAUGUGCUGUGGGCACGCAGGCUUGCUAGAGUUGUCGCAGACGUGUUGAUGCGAUUGUGUUUUCUGCUCGUUUCCGAAACGUAUACUCCGCUGCCGCGCUCGCAUUUGUGGCUUGUGGAUCCGUGUAUGCUUUGAGCGCCCCCCUACCGUUAGCGCUUCCGUCAUCACAUCGCUCGACUAACCAUAGAGCAGACACACACAACCAUGGUGCAAAUACGGAGGGAGAGGGGUGAGGGAGAAUCAAGGUCCCUGACGUCCUCUGCACCUUCACAUGUGUCGCUGACACCUUUGUCCCUGCUGGGUAUAGAGAUUAGAUGGUGCGUUGGGGUUUCAGUUUGCGUGUCUGUGAACAAUGUAGGCUCUCCGCUGCGCUGCUUUACAACUAUAUAUGUAGUCUUUCUUAGCCCUUUCUAUACCUUCACGCUUCCUUGCCCGCCCUUUCUUAG